CCCUAUCCAUAUACUAAUGUUAUUUUAAUAAAUGUUUUUUAUUUGAUUCUUUAACAUAAGACACUAGUCUGCAAACACCCUAUACAUAUACUAAUGUUAUUUUAAAGAAUGAUGCCUUAACCCUUAAAAGAUCUUUUCCCUUUUGCCAACAGAACUAGACCAAGAGUACCUUAUUCAAAACUGUUAUAACUAUGAUAUAGAAAAAGAAAUGAUAAAAUGAAUAACAUGAUUUUGUUCUUUGAAAACUACAACUAUGUAUAUUCACUAGGGAAAGUUGUUUUCAACUUAUGAAGCAAAAAGAAAAAAUGGUCAUGAAUAAGCAAUAAAGAUAACCAUCAUUUUGACCGAGAGAAACCUGAGUUAUACUUCAGCUAAAUAUAUCAAAUAAAAGGGUAGCAUAGAACUGAAAUAAAAUCUCACCUCUAUUAAUAAUGGGUGGCCUUGGAAGCUCAUCAACUGCACUCCUAGGAGUAGGAGGCAUAGAAAAGUCAUGUGCCAUGUUGUAUUCUGGUUGAUGAACAAAUUCGGGUAAGGGUUUGGCAUCUUCCCCUGCAGAAAAUUAAAAGAAUUAAUCAUCUACCAAAAGUUGAUUAGCUUGUUUCAAUGUGUUUGAGUCUAAGAGUAGUGUUCUUGUUAUCUUUGUUUUCUAAUUUCUAAAUGUGCAGAAAGAGUGGAUGUAAAGAGUGGAUGUGAUUUUGCUAUGUCCCUUCUAUAAGGGUUACGAGUGGGCCUUUUGGUCAAAUAAAU
rnacentral:lncRNA from 1 species